GGAGCACGCCGCGUGAGUGAUGAAGGUUUUCGGAUCGUAAAGCUCUGUUGCCAGGGAAGAAUGCUUGAGAGAGUAACUGCUCUCAAGGUGACGGUACCUGAGAAGAAAGCCCCGGCUAACUACGUGCCAGCAGCCGCGGUAAUACGUAUGGGGCAAGCGUUGUCCGGAAUUAUUGGGCGUAAAGCGCGCGCAGGCGGUCAUUUAAGUUUGGUGUUUAAUCCCGGGGCUCAACCCCGGGUCGCACUGAAAACUGGGUGACUUGAGUACAGAAGAGGAGAGUGGAAUUCCACGUGUAGCGGUGAAAUGCGUAGAUAUGUGGAGGAACACCAGUGGCGAAGGCGACUCUCUGGGCUGUAACUGACGCUGAGGCGCGAAAGCGUGGGGAGCAAACAGGAUUAGAUACCCUGGUAGUCCACGCCGUAAACGAUGAGUGCUAGGUGUUAGGGGUUUCGAUACCCUUGGUGCCGAAGUUAACACAUUAAGCACUCCGCCUGGGGA
rnacentral:rRNA from 1 species